rnacentral:rRNA from 1 species
CCUACGGGGCGCAGCAGUGGGGAAUAUUGGACAAUGGGCGAAAGCCUGAUCCAGCCAUGCCGCGUGUGUGAAGAAGGCCUUCGGGUUGUAAAGCACUUUCAGUGGGGAAGAAAGCCUUGGGGCUAAUACCCUCGAGGAAGGACAUCACCCACAGAAGAAGCACCGGCUAACUCCGUGCCAGCAGCCGCGGUGAAUACGGAGGGUGCGAGCGUUAAUCGGAAUUACUGGGCGUAAAGCGCGCGUAGGCGGUCUGAUAAGCCGGUUGUGAAAGCCCCGGGCUCAACCUGGGAACGGCAUCCGGAACUGUCAGGCUAGAGUGCAGGAGAGGAAGGUAGAAUUCCCGGUGUAGCGGUGAAAUGCGUAGAGAUCGGGAGGAAUACCAGUGGCGAAGGCGGCCUUCUGGACUGACACUGACGCUGAGGUGCGAAAGCGUGGGUAGCAAACAGGAUUAGAUACCCUUGUAGUC